rnacentral:rRNA from 1 species
UACGUAGGGUGCGAGCGUUGUCCGGAAUUACUGGGCGUAAAGAGCUCGUAGGUGGUUUGUCGCGUUGUCCGUGAAAACUCACAACUCAAUUGUGGGCGUGCGGGCGAUACGGGCAGACUGGAGUACUGCAGGGGAGACUGGAAUUCCUGGUGUAGCGGUGGAAUGCGCAGAUAUCAGGAGGAACACCGGUGGCGAAGGCGGGUCUCUGGGCAGUAACUGACGCUGAGGAGCGAAAGCGUGGGGGAGCGAACAGGA